CUCCUGCAAGCACACAGAUCCUCUCUUCUCUCCAUGUAGUCACUACUUGGGGAAGGGGAAUGGGUGGUGUCAGCAAUUCAAGACUGAUUUCUUUUCCAUCUUCAGCGCCCCUUUCCUUGAUAUGAUGUUAAAACCAGAACAAGAAACAGAUCGAGGAAGAGGCAGAGUAACAACAGCUGGGAAGAAGAUACAGUUUUCAUUCUGUGAAGCUGUUUUCCGUUUUCUUGACUUCAAAGUGGCCAAUUUUCCAGUAAUCCAAUCCACAGAUAAG